rnacentral:rRNA from 1 species
CUCUUCUUGCCUUAUAUAUGAAGUAUAGCCUGCCCAAUGAAUAUUUAAUGGCCGCGGUAUAUUGACCGUGCAAAGGUAGCAUAAUCAUUAGUCUAUUAAUUGUAGGCUGGAAUGAAGGGUUGGACGAGACAACAACUGUCUUUAUUUAAUUUGCUUUGAAUUUAAUUUUUAAGUUAAAAAGCUUAAAUUGUUUUAUGGGACGAGAAGACCCUAUAGAGUUUAUAUAAAUUUAUAUAGAAUUUUAGUUUGUUAAGAUUUUAUUAUAUAAGUUUAUUUUGUUGGGGUGAUGGGGAGAUACAUGUAACUCUUUCUUUCAUUAUUUAUUUAUUUUUAUAUUUUUGAUCCAUUAUUAUUGAUUAUAAGACUAAAUUACCUUAGGGAUAACAGCGUAAUCUUUUUUGAGAGUUCUUAUUGACAAUAAGGUUUGCGA